UAUGCCUAAAAUAUUUAACUGCUUCAUG
rnacentral:sRNA from 1 species